GGAGAAGGCAAAGUGCAGAGGAAGGAGGAGCCACUGCUAGUGGGUACGAGGUUUCUUCUUGGUACAAGGACUUCUACGUUCUGUCCUCCUGCAGCCAUCUAAAAUCAGCCAGAAAGGUUUAGGAUCCCAUUUCCUGUUCUUGCAUCGGCUGUCCAAGCUGCUGUUCCUCUCUCCGCAGUAAGAGGGUGUUUCUCUCCCUGUUCAAGAGGAGCACCAACACUUGAGGACAGUAUCAUCCCUAGACCUUGGCAAGAGAGACCACUGAGUGAGGCAUCCAUGGAACCCAAGGAAGAGGCCUACGAAGAACCUGCAGUCACCUUCUAGACCAUUCUCCCUCACCAAACUGUCCCCUCCAGAGAGCUGAGGACUGGAUCUUCCCAUGCUGACACCUCCAGUGGGAAAGAAAAUUCUAGAUUCAGCUCUGGGUGUCCAAGUCAUUAUGAAGGCAUAUUUGUCAAGGUGGAAGAAAAGGACAUAUUCUAUUUAGCAGUUUGCAAUGUCCAGCCACCUACUGAUCGUAUGUGAUGGGGGGUGAGGAGGAGAUACUUUGCAUGGCCCCCAGUGACAAAGAAGAGGCCCUUAGCUAUAGCUACUCUUGUUUUAGAGGACAACUUCUCUUCACUGAGGACAACACAGAAUCCUGGAGAUAUUUUUGAUGAGUAGUAAUAAGGAACAGCGGAGCUUCCCCCUAAGACCCUGGUGUGUUUCUGCAUCAGGAAACCUUCUCUCCUGCAAUGUGUCGUUUAAGAUUGAACAACAUGGUGCCUUUGCCAGAAGUUAACAGGAAACCCAAAAGGAGAUGAGCCAGACUGGUUAGUUCAGAAGAGAAUCGUUGGGGAAGACAAUGGGAGCUGCUGUUUGAAUGUGGCCCUGAGAUUAUUUGUGCUUUUCAAUCCCAUGUUACCAAAACACAUUUCAAGCUGGCCUAUAAAUCACACCUUGUGCAUAAUUUUAAGUGGAUAAAUAUUUGUCGCCCAAGUGAAUGAUGCUUCCAGCUUUCAAAAAA
rnacentral:lncRNA from 1 species